rnacentral:rRNA from 1 species
AGUUUGAUCAUGGCUCAGAGUGAACGCUGGCGGCAGGCCUAAUACAUGCAAGUCGAACGGCAGCACAGCAGAGCUUGCUCUGGUGGGUGGCGAGUGGCGGACGGGUGAGGAAUACAUGGGAAUCUGCCCAGUCGUGGGGGAUAACGUAGGGAAACUUACGCUAAUACCGCAUGCGCCCUUCGGGGGAAAGCCGGGGACCUUCGGGCCUGGCGCGAUUGGAUGAGCCCAUGUCGGAUUAGCUAGUUGGCGGGGUAAUGGCCCACCAAGGCGACGAUCCGUAGCUGGUCUGAGAGGAUGAUCAGCCACACUGGAACUGAGACACGGUCCAGACUCCUACGGGAGGCAGCAGUAGGGAAUAUUGGACAAUGGGCGCAAGCCUGAUCCAGCCAUGCCGCGUGAGUGAAGAAGGCCCUCGGGUUGUAAAGCUCUUUUGUCCGGAAAGAAAAGCGCCGGGUUAAUACCCUAGUGUCCUGACGGUACCGGAAGAAUAAGCACCGGCUAACUUCGUG